GACGAACGCUGGCGGCGUGCUUAACACAUGCAAGUCGAACGGGAAGGCCCUGCUUUUGGGGGGUGCUCGAGUGGCGACCGGGUGAGUAGCACGUGGGUUACCUGCCAUUGACUUUGGGAUAACUUCAGAACACUGGGGCUCAUCCCGGAUAGGAGCUCCUGCUGCAUGGUGGGGGUUGGUUAGUUUCGGCGGUUGGGGGUGGACUCGCGGCUUAUCACCUUGUUGGUGGGGUGGUGGGUUAGCAAGGCAAGGACGGGUUGCCUGGCUGCGAGGGGAACCGGCCACAUCGGAACUGAGAUGAGACCCAGACUCCAACGCGAGGCAGCAGUGGGGAAGAGUGUACUAUGGGAGGAAGCCUGACGCAGUACCGCAGCGCGGGGGAUGAGGGCAUUCGGUUUGUAAACCGCUUUCGUCUGACACGAAACGUGAGUGACGGUAACGGGUAAAGAAGCACCGGCUAACUACGUG
rnacentral:rRNA from 1 species